rnacentral:rRNA from 1 species
GAUGAACGCUGGCGGCGUGCCUAAUACAUGCAAGUCGAGCGGAAAGGCCCUUCGGGGUACUCGAGCGGCGGACGGCUGAGUAACGCGUAGGAACGUACCCCAAAGUGAGGGAUAACUGCUCGAAAGAGUAGCUAAUACCGCAUGUGCUCUUCGGAGUAAAGCUUCGGCGCUUUGGGAACGGCCUGCGUCCUAUUAGCUAGUUGGUGAGGUAAUUGCUCACCAAGGCGACGAUAGGUAGCUGGUCUGAGAGGAUGAUCAGCCAGACUGGGACUGAGACACGGCCCAGACUCCUACGGGAGGCAGCAGUAGGGAAUUUUCCACAAUGGGCGAAAGCCUGAUGGAGCAACGCCGCGUGCAGGAUGAAUGCCUUCGGGUUGUAAACUGCUUUUAUAGGUGAAGAAUAUGACGGUAACCUAUGAAUAAGGAUCGGCUAACUCCGUGCCAGCCGCCGCCGUAA